GAUGAAGAACGUAGCGAAAUGCGAUACUUGGUGUGAAUUGCAGAAUCCCGUGAACCAUCGAGUCUUUGAACGCAAGUUGCGCCCGAAGCCACUAGGCCGAGGGCACGCCUGCCUGGGCGUCACACGCCGUUGCCCCCCCAUCUACUCCUUCGGGAUUGCGGGGGGGCGGAUGAUGGCCUCCUGUGCGCCUAGCCGCGCGGUUGGCAUAAAUACCAAGUCCUCGGCGACGCACGCCACGACAAUCGGUGGUUGCGAAACCUCGGUUGCCCGUCGUGUGCGUUCGUCGCGCAUCGAGGGCUCGAAAAAAUGCUCAGCUCCGGCUGGGCUUUCAACGCGACCCCAGGUCAGGCGGGGUUACCCGCUGAAUUUAAGCAUAUCAAUAAGCGGAGGA
rnacentral:misc_RNA from 1 species